rnacentral:rRNA from 1 species
GUGGGGAAUCUUGCGCAAUGGGCGAAAGCCUGACGCAGCCAUGCCGCGUGAAUGAUGAAGGUCUUAGGAUUGUAAAAUUCUUUCACCGGGGACGAUAAUGACGGUACCCGGAGAAGAAGCCCCGGCUAACUUCGUGCCAGCAGCCGCGGUAAUACGAAGGGGGCUAGCGUUGCUCGGAAUUACUGGGCGUAAAGGGCGCGUAGGCGGACAGUUUAGUCAGAGGUGAAAGCCCAGGGCUCAACCUUGGAAUUGCCUUUGAUACUGGCUGUCUUGAGUACGGGAGAGGUGAGUGGAACUCCGAGUGUAGAGGUGAAAUUCGUAGAUAGUCGGAAGAACACCAGUGGAGAAGGCGACUCACUGGCCCGUUACUGACGCUGAGGCGCGAAAGCGUGGGGAGCAAACAGGAUUAGAAACCCGUGUAGUCC